AUUGAACGCUGGCGGCAGGCCUAACACAUGCAAGUCGAGCGGUAACACAGGGAGCUUGCUCCCGGGUGACGAGCGGCGGACGGGUGAGUAAUGUCUGGGAAACUGCCUGAUGGAGGGGGAUAACUACUGGAAACGGUAGCUAAUACCGCAUAAUGUCGCAAGACCAAAGAGGGGGACCUUCGGGCCUCUUGCCAUCAGAUGUGCCCAGAUGGGAUUAGCUAGUAGGUGGGGUAACGGCUCACCUAGGCGACGAUCCCUAGCUGGUCUGAGAGGAUGACCAGCCACACCGGAACUGAGACACGGUCCAGACUCCUACGGGAGGCGGCAGUGGGGAAUAUUGCACAAUGGGCGCAAGCCUGAUGCAGCCAUGCCGCGUGUAUGAAGAAGGCCUUCGGGUUGUAAGGUACUUUCAGCGGGGAGGAAGGCGAUAAGGCUAAUAACCUUGUCGAUUGACGUUACCCGCAGAAGAAGCACCGGCUAACUCCGUGCCAGCAGCCGCCGUAA
rnacentral:rRNA from 1 species